CAUGGAGGGUGAGAAUCCCGUCCGGCUGACCUUCAGGACGUUUUACGAUACGCUCUCAAAGAGUCGAGUUGUUUGGGAUUGCAGCUCAAAAUGGGAGGUAAAUUUCUCCUAAGGCUAAAUACCGGCGAGAGACCGAUAGCGAACAAGUACCGUGAGGGAAAGAUGAAAAGAAUUUUGAAAAGAAAGUCAAACAGUACGUGAAAUUGUUGAAAGGGAAACGAUUGAAGCCAGUCGUACCGACGGGAAUUCAACUUCUCGAGUGCUAAUCGUGGGUGACGUUGAGCCUCACGGCCUUCGUUGCUUGUGUUGUUGGUGCUUUUGUGGUGUACUUUUCCGUAUUGGUAGGUCAGCAUCGAUUUCGAUCGUCAUAAAAUGAUCGGGGGAAUGUAGCUUCGGUCUCGUAUCGGAGUGUUAUAGACCUUGGUAGAUGUGACGAUUGGGAUCGAGGAUUGCAACGAAUACCCUCUGGGCUAUCCGUCUGACCUCUGAAAGUCGCUCGGGUGUCGAAAGCUUGCUUAUGGCUAUUCGAGUUGGCGGUCAAUAGGUUAGAACGUGAUUAUAUUCGUUAAGGAUGUUGACGUAAUGG
rnacentral:rRNA from 1 species